rnacentral:lncRNA from 1 species
UUUUUGUAAGGGUUAGUCAAUUAGAUAAUCAUAUUAUUGGUAUGCUGCACACACAAUAAUAUACUUCAAACCUUUCUCCGUUACAAACACUUAACAUAAAAUAGUGCAUUUGAUAGCCAGGAAAAAAAUGACUUGCCUUUCGAUCGAGACACCUUUAGAGAUGUAAUGUGGGAUACACGAAACAUAGGUGGAUAAUCUUCGAUACUUAUGCUCUAUACUAAACCCUAAACAUAUAAUUGAUACAAGACUAUAAUGACCAGUCCCACUUAGGUGAUAACAGUCCACUGAUCAGAACUUAAGUCCGAUCUAAGUAGAUUAUGAUCCGAACAUGAACUUAAUACCGAAAAUCCCACCCAUGCCUAGAUAAUCUCGUGAUCUUCACUUCUCAAUAUGGUUUAGCCUGAAAUUAAUCUGCAGUUAUAUAUUAAUUAUCAUUUGAUCGCAUUUUAUGGUUUGUAUAUGUAUAUAACUUUAUCAGAGAAUCAUAUACUCCAUGUCUAUAAGAGAUUUAAAGAAUGAGAUCAGAAUGAUUGCAUAAUUAAGGUACCAUGGCUUAAAUGAAGUCGGACUGUCAAGCCAGAUGCUACUGUCCAGCCUCCAUACUUGGACGACCGAUCUCAUUAAAGAUCGAUCGGCUUAUUUAUUGACUAUUUAAUAAGGAGAUCUUCGUUCUUUUUUUUUCUUCAGUUUCUCAUGAGCUUGAUCUGCAUCUCUAUGGAGUAUAUAUACAUCCUUUUCUUUUUAUAAGCAGAGCACAAGGUAAUUAU